AAAUUUGAGUUCUCCCCCAACCAAUUUUGACCUAGCUUGGUUUUUCCCCUUCUAAAUCGACACCUGAUUAAUACUUCAAGGCUUCAAGCCUCCCACCUAUCUGCUUCGUCUUCUUUUCUUCAUAGUUCGGGAACGAUCCAACACAUUGUAACUUCGAGAUCAACCCCAUGACGAUCUUCAUCAAAUCCGACAACGAUCCAGCGAACUACAGACCCGUCAUCAUCGUAUUUAUCCUCUCCUUCUAUAUCAUGUUUACGACCACGACGUACAACCACCACGACGCACCUCCAACGAACCCCCACUGAACAACCUCCACCAUCUGUGUAGAUGUCACCAGUCAUCUCUAAAGUCGACGUUUCAAACGAUCUUCGUAUCUUGCAUCUCUAUGAUUGGUAUGUCUCUGAGACUCUGACUACUUCUGAUUCACUUAAUUUGUGAUUCUCAAUCUCUAGAUCUGUUAAUCAUCACCACUUUUUUAACUCAGUGCCCAAUCCAACACAACUCUUAUUAUAAACUAACGAUGAUGAUGGUAGUUGAAUCGAUUGCGAAUUAGAGGCGAUCAGUUAUGGUUAAGAUGAAUGUAACAGUACAUGUUCUGUACUUUUGAAUAGGAAACUUUGAUUAAUAGUAGUGGGCUAGUGGCCUUUCCUUUCAUCGAAAACUUGUUUUGCUCCACAUUGCUUUAAUCACAUGUUAUUUGUUCUGUUUCAACUAUUAUUAAUAAAAAUCAUGCUCACAUUGUUGUUAAUUUUUUUAUAGGAUAAAAACCACACUUCGAUUUGCACGCGACAUGGGCUGUAAUGAAAAAAAAAUUUGUGAACUAAUUUAGUAUUGACUUAUUUGAUGCAUUUGACAAAUUGGAUGAGUUGAUUGAAGUUUUUAUGGUUGAUUGCAGAGUAACUGGUUUAUUCUUGUAACAUAUGGCAGAUUCAUUUAUGAGAAAUGUUGAUCUAGCAUUCUUGGAUGUAAUCUCUUAUCUUGAACGCCUUUGCACUCAUCUCUUGCCUCACUCAGAUUGACGAAUGACAGAUUCAUUUGUUGUCAUGGUACACUUGUAAUAUAAAAGAUCGCAGAAGAGUAUCCUGAUAGAAUGAUGAUGAACUUAUAUGUACUUUGCUAGAACUGUUAAACAUAUAAGUAAUUUUAUUUCGUUGAAAUGUUAAGUUCAUACAAGCCAUCAGGUAAUCAGAUUUAUACAAGUCACUCAUCAACGGGAAACAUGAAUGGGCAAUUGAUCCUCACGAUCCUAAUUUAGGUUUUGCUAAUUUGCCAAACAAGUAUUGUUGGAAUGAUUCAAGAACCGUUGAAUGCUUUAUUUUUAUUGUUAUUGUUAUUUUUGUAUUGACUAGUAACUUAGUUUUUAUUUAUUUAUUUAUUUAAACUGAUUAUUUUUUUGGUCGUAUCUUGUAAGCGAUAUGUACAUUCGAUUUGUAUUUUGUAUACGACUAGUUAUA